rnacentral:rRNA from 1 species
AGUAAACCACCUGGGGAGUACGUUCGCAAGAAUGAAACUCAAAGGAAUUGACGGGGGUCCGCACAAGCGGUGGAUUAUGUGGUUUAAUUCGAUGAUACGCGAAGAACCUUACCUAGGCUCUAAUGUUAUCUGACAGUUUCAGAAAUGAGAUGUUCCUUCGGGACAGAUAGCAAGGUGCUGCAUGGUUGUCGUCAGCUCGUGCCGUGAGGUGUUGGGUUAAGUCCCGCAACGAGCGCAACCCCUAUCUUUAGUUGCCAGCGAGUAAUGUCGGGGACUCUAGAGAGACUGCCUGCGCAAGCAGAGAGGAAGGAGGGGAUGAUGUCAAAUCAUCAUGGCCUUUAUGCCUAGGGCUACACACGUAAUACAAUGGUAGGGACAAAGGGUAGCUACUUGGCGACAAGAUGCCAAUCCCAAAAACCCUAUCUCAGUUCGGAUUGGAGUCUGCAACUCGACUCUAUGAAGCUGGAAUCGCUAGUAAUCGAGAUCAGCAAUGCUACGG